GAGGGUAUAGCUCAGUGGUAGAGCAUUCAACUGUAUAUCGAGAGGUACUCGGUUCAAACCCGGGAGCCACUUUCU